UACGUAGGGUGCAAGCGUUGUCCGGAAUUAUUGGGCGUAAAGAGCUCGUAGGCGGUUCGUCGCGUCGGCUGUGAAAUCCCGGAGCUCAACUCCGGGUCUGCAGUCGAUACGGGCGGACUCGAGUUCGGCAGGGGAGACUGGAAUUCCUGGUGUAGCGGUGAAAUGACGGCCAGAGUAUCAGGAGGAACACCGGUGGCGAAAGGCGGAUCGUCUGGGCCAUUACUGACGCUGAGGAGCGAAAGCGUGGGGAGCGAACAGG
rnacentral:rRNA from 1 species